rnacentral:misc_RNA from 1 species
AAGUCGUAACAAGGUUUCCGUAGGUGAACCUGCGGAAGGAUCAUUAUCACGUUAUCCACGUUAUAAACCAAUCGCGAACUGUUCUACCUUCUUUGGAUGGAUGGGGACUCUCCCUUGUGUGUGGUUUUGGAGACCUCGUUUACUGUCCUUUGAAGCGUAUUUUUUAACCACGCUUAUUUACCACUUGAACCAAAUUAUUUAUUAUUGUUUAAGCUGAUUUGUUUCUUACUCUGGUCGAGUAACAUUGACCUGGAGAAGAAAUUAUAUUACGAAACAAAAGAACAACUCUUAGCAACGGAU